rnacentral:rRNA from 1 species
CCUACGGGAGGCAGCAGUGGGGAAUAUUGGGCAAUGGGCGCAAGCCUGACCCAGCAACGCCGCGUGAAGGAAGAAGGCGUUCGGGUUGUAAACUUCGUUUAAGAGGGAAGAGCAGAAGACGGUACCUCUUGAAUAAGCCACGGCUAACGACGGGCCAGCAGCCGCGGUAAUACGUAGGUGGCAAGCGUUGUCCGGAUUUACUGGGUGUAAAGGGCGGGUAGCCGGGCUGACCAGUCAGAUGUGAAAUUCCGGGGCGCAACCCCGGACCGGCCUUGGAAACUGUUGGUCUUGAGUAUCGGAGCGGCAGGCGGCAUUCCUAGUGUAGCGGUGCACUGCGUCGAUAUUAGGAGGAACCCCAGUGGC